rnacentral:lncRNA from 1 species
AGGUUACAGUACAUUUCCUCUGUAUGUAAAUUAGAUGGGAUAAUAGAAAUUCAUAACCCAUAAUAUUCUUUGAAAGCUAAGCUUUAAACUUCAUUUUGUGUCCUUUCACAAACAAAUCAAACAGAAAGUGGCGACCUGCCAUUUUGACAUCAACUCAUUUUGCUAGGCUUAGGCAGCUAGACAUCAUUUUAAACAAAAUAUUAACUUAUAUUACAUAUGUAUAUUUUUUGUCAGUUGUCUCUCAGUUCUUGAGGUAUAUUCUUUUAAUCAUUCCAUGCCUUACUAUGCUUGCAAUACAAGAACAUCCCCAGAUAGGUGAAUUUUAAGAAAGGCUUCCCGUUUUUAGAUUCCCCAAAGUAAGCAUUGGGCUGUGGUAGCCAAAAACCAUAGAUUAUCUAAGGGAUUGUGAUCAAAUCUAAAUAUUUUACUAAAUCAUUGGGGUACUAACCAGCCCCAAACCAGACCUGCCUAACUCACUUUCAUAAACAAAUAUUCUCAUGUCUGAAAGUACUGCCUAUGUUGUUUUCCACACCACUGCAUUUAAUAGAGCUGCUGAGAGGACUGUAUAUAUGAUUUUAAACUUAAGUUGAUUUUUUUUCUCACUCUUGAAAAGGAGCAUUUCUUUGUGAAAGCAGUUCUUACAGCUUUGUUUUCAACCAGCUAAAAAUGUUUUAUAUAUUUACCUUAACCUGUUGUCCUCCACAUUCUAUUGUCCUAAUUGUACUGUUUUCUGAUUUGUAUUUAUGUCUUGAGACAGUAACUUUUUGAAUAAAAAUAAACCUACAGUAUGUUGUAUGUUUGCUCUUUUUGAAUCACAUGGGAUGGGGGGAGGGCAGCUAAAGUAAGCUUUAUCCUGAUGGAAAUGUUAUGUUUAUAGGAAUUCUUUUACCAUGUCUUUUAAGUGUUUGUUUCAAAGUUGAUAUAAUGUAUGGAAAACAGCACUGUUUUAUAUUUGUAACAAAUUGUACAAGUUUUUUAAUGUGAAUAAAGCACUAAUUGGGUUAAUAACUUAAAGUAGAAAAGCUAUGCAAUCAUGAUUGUUUUAAAUGUCUUCUAAUGUGGGAUAAAGCUGUUAAAAAUAACUGCUUUGUAAAAUUGUCUCCAGAAAAAGUCUUUAAGUAAUCUGGUUAGUGUUGAAGGUGUCAAUGACCUUCAAAGGUAAAAUGAAACUUGUUUUUAACAAAUGAAAAGAAAGUCAUCCUUAGUGUGACAUAAUCACUUAGGUUGUAAUUGAUCUAGUUACAGUGAGUUAUGAGAGAUUGGAUUGAUUAACCCUAUAGUGAGAACCUAAAAUGGUAACAUGUAAACUCUUAACAUUUGUCGUUGCU